UGAGUACGAGAUGCUACGGCAUCGAAGCAGUCUAUGCCAUACUUCCAAGAAAAGCUUGCACUGUCAUAAACAAAGAAUGCCUGUACCAUAACCGACACAGGUGGGUAGGUAGAGUAUACUAAGGGGCGCGAGAUAACUCUCUCUAAGGAACUCGGCAAAAUGACUCCGUAACUUCGGGAGAAGGAGUGCCUUAUUUCUAAGGUUGCAAUAACAAGAUCCAAGCAACUGUUUACCAAAAACACAGGUCUCCGCUAAGUCGUAAGACGAUGUAUGGGGGCUGACGCCUGCCCAGUGCCAGAAGGUUAAAGAAGUUGGUUAGCAUUAGCGAAGCUGAUAACUGAAGCCCUGGUGAACGGCGGCCGUAACAAUAACGGUCCUAAGGUAGCGAAAUUCCUUGUCGGGUAAGUUCCGACCCGCACGAAAGGCGUAAUGAUUUGGAUACUGUCUCGGAGAGGGGCUCGGUGAAAUAGACUUGUCUGUGAAGAUGCGGACUACCUGCACCUGGACAGAAAGACCCUAUGAAGCUUUACUGUAACUUGAGAUUGAAAUUGGACUUUAUUUGCGCAGUAUAGGUGGGAGGCGUUGAGAAUAAUCUUGCGGGAUUGUUGGAGCCAUCAGUGGGAUACCACUCUUGUAAUGUUAGAUUUCUAACUUUGUAUCAUUAUCUGGUCAAAGAACAGUUUCAGGCAGGCAGUUUGACUGGGGCGGUCGCCUCCCAAAGGGUAACGGAGGCGCACAAAGGUUUCCUCUGAACGGGUAGAAAUCGUAUCUAGAGUGUAAAGGCAUAAGGAAGCUUGACUGUGAGACCUACAAGUCGAGCAGGGACGAAAGUCGGUCUUAGUGAUCUGACGGUGCUGAGUGGAAAGGCCGUCACUCAACGGAUAAAAGUUACUCUAAGGAUAACAGGCUGAUCUCCCCCAAGAGUUCACAUCGACGGGGAGGUUUGGCACCUCGAUGUCGGCUCAUCGCAUCCUGGGGCGGUAGUCCGUCCCAAGGGUUGGGCUGUUCGCCCAUGAAAGCGGUACGCGAGCUGGGUUCAGAACGUCGUGAGACAGUUCGGUCCAUAUCCGGUGUAGGCGUUAGAAUAUUGAGAGGAGCCUUCUCUAGUACGAGAGGACCGAGAAGGACAUACCUCUGGUGUACCAGUUAUCGUGCCAACGGUAAACGCUGGGUAGCUAUGUAUGGAGUGGAUAACCGCUGAAAGCAUCUAAGUGGGAAGCCCACCUCAAGAUAAGUAUUC
rnacentral:rRNA from 1 species